GAUGAACGCUGGCGGCGUGCCUAAUACAUGCAAGUCGAGCGAACGGACGAGAAUCUUGCUUCUCUGAUGUUAGCGACGGACGGGUGAGUACCACGUGGAUAACCUACCUAUCAGACUGGGAUAACUUCUGGAACCCGGAGCUAAUACCGGAUGAUAUUUUGCACCGCAUGGUUCAACAGUGAAAGACUGUCUUGCUGUCACUUCUAUAUGUAUCCGCGCUGCAUUAGCUAGUUGGUAAGGUAACGGCUUACCAAGGCAACGAUGCAUAGCCGACCUGAGAGAGGAAGCGGCGACAGUGGAACAGAGAGACGAGCCAGACUCCGACGGGAGGCAGGAGUAGGGAAUCAUGCGAGAAGGGAGAAAGGAAGACGGAGCAACGCGGCAUGGGUGAUGAAGGUAUUCGGAUCGUAAAACACUAGGAUUAGGGAAGAACAAAUGUGUAAGUAACAGUGGAAAUCUUGACGGUACCUAAGCAGAAAGCCACGGCUAACUACGUG
rnacentral:rRNA from 1 species